AAAACUUUUUCAAAAGAAAAAAUCUGUUCUUAUCAGUUUAAUAUCUGAUACGUCCCCCAUCGGGGGACUACAUAUUAAAUGGAUUUUUCGAACAGGGAGUCGGAAAUGGGGCUUGCUCCGUCCGCUCCACGCAUCGACCCGGUAUUGCAGUACCUCCGGGAACGGUGCACCACUU
ensembl:snRNA U2 U2 spliceosomal RNA